rnacentral:lncRNA from 1 species
CAAGACUGUGUCCAAAAACAGAGGUAGAAUUAAAAAUCUAAUAGUUAUUGGAUAGCAAACAUAAUCUUUGUUAAAGAAGUGUCACACUCGGAGUCUGUGGGAGGGGAUAAAGACCAUUACAGACUAUAAACCUCCUCGACAAACCUGUGACAGUGACACCUCUCUGUUGAACGCUCUAAAUGAAUUCUUUGCUGGCUACGAGGCACUCAACAGAACCCCGGCACAAAAGUCAACACCCUCUCCUGAAGACCAAGUGCUGAAGCUAUCUCCAGAGAGUGUGAGAAGAUCUCUGAGCAGGAUCAACGUACACAAAGCACCGGGUCCAGACAACAUACCAGAUCGUGUACUGAAAGGUUGCGCUGAUAAACUCACUGAAGUCUUCACAGACAUUUUUAACACAUCUCUGCAGCAGGCUGUGGUCCCAACGUGCCUCAAAGCGACCACCAUCAUUCCAGUGCCAAAGAAGUCACCACCCUCCUGCUUUAAUGACUACCGCCCAGUAGCACUCACUCCAAUUCUUAUGAAGUGCUUCGAGCGGCUCAUCAUGGAACACGUCAAGUCUGUUCUCCCUCCCACCCUGGACCCAUACCAGUUUGCUUAUUGGUCCAAUCUCUCAACUGAAGAUGCCAUCUCCACUGUGCUUCAUUCAGCCCUCACUCACCUUGAAACAAAGGACUCUUACGUUAGAAUGCUGUUUUUAGACUUUAGCUCAGCAUUCAACACUAUAAUCCCACAGCAGCUAAUACACAAACUGCUCCACCUGGGGAUCAACACAUCACUGUGCAACUGGCUGCUGGACUUUCUGACGGGGAGACCACAGGCUGUACGUGUUGGCGGAAAGUCCUCCAGAACCAUCACACUGAACACGGGAUCCCCAAGGCUGUGUGCUGAGCCCCCUCCUGUUCACUCUGCUGACCCAUGACUGCGCUCCAAAGUACGACUCAAACCUCUUCAUCAAGUUUGCAGACGACACAACAGUGGUGGGUCUCAUCAACAACAGAGACGAGUCAAACUACAGGAGUGAGGUGAGCAGUCUGGCCAUGUGGUGCACCCAGACCAAUCUCUCUCUAAAUGUGGAGAAGACAAAAGAGAUUGUUGUGGACUUUUGAAGAGCGCGG